rnacentral:rRNA from 2 species
CUGUGUGUUGUUGGGUAGGGGAGCGUUCUGUAAGCCUGUGAAGGUGUGUCGUGAGGCAUGCUGGAGGUAUCAGAAGUGCGAAUGCUGACAUAAGUAACGAUAAAGCGGGUGAAAAGCCCGCUCGCCGGAAGACCAAGGGUUCCUGUCCAACGUUAAUCGGGGCAGGGUGAGUCGACCCCUAAGGCGAGGCCGAAAGGCGUAGUCGAUGGGAAACGGGUUAAUAUUCCCGUACUUGGUGUUACUGCGAAGGGGGGACGGAGAAGGCUAUGUUGGCCGGGCGACGGUUGUCCCGGUUUAAGCGUGUAGGUGUGUGUUCCAGGUAAAUCCGGUUCACUUUAACACUGAGGCGUGAUGACGAGGCACUACGGUGCUGAAGCAACAAAUGCCCUGCUUCCAGGAAAAGCCUCUAAGCAUCAGGUAACAUCAAAUCGUACCCCAAACCGACACAGGUGGUCAGGUAGAGAAUACCAAGGCGCUUGAGAGAACUCGGGUGAAGGAACUAGGCAAAAUGGUGCCGUAACUUCGGGAGAAGGCACGCUGACACGUAGGUGAAGUGAUUUACUCAUGGAGCUGAAGUCAGUCGAAGAUACCAGCUGGCUGCAACUGUUUAUUAAAAACACAGCACUGUGCAAACACGAAAGUGGACGUAUACGGUGUGACGCCUGCCCGGUGCCGGAAGGUUAAUUGAUGGGGUCAGCGCAAGCGAAGCUCCUGAUCGAAGCCCCGGUAAACGGCGGCCGUAACUAUAACGGUCCUAAGGUAGCGAAAUUCCUUGUCGGGUAAGUUCCGACCUGCACGAAUGGCGUAAUGAUGGCCAGGCUGUCUCCACCCGAGACUCAGUGAAAUUGAACUCGCUGUGAAGAUGCAGUGUACCCGCGGCAAGACGGAAAGACCCCGUGAACCUUUACUAUAGCUUGACACUGAACAUUGAGCCUUGAUGUGUAG